rnacentral:ncRNA from 1 species
GGGCAAGAUAUGUAAAGUUGGCCUUAUUUUAUGAAAUAAAAUAAAUCCACUUUACUCGGAUGUAUUCGCCAUAGGCUCAAAUCCUAUAUCUUGUCCUUCAGAGUU